GGCGGGGUAGUUUAAUUGGAAGAAUGCCUGCCCAUCAGGUAGGAGAUAUAAGUUCGAGUCUUAUCGUCGCCU
rnacentral:tRNA from 1 species